rnacentral:rRNA from 1 species
GAUGAACGCUGGCGGCGUGCCUAAUACAUGCAAGUCGAGCGAAUGGAUUAAGAGCUUGCUCUUAUGAAGUUAGCGGCGGACGGGUGAGUAACACGUGGGUAACCUGCCCAUAAGACUGGGAUAACUCCGGGAAACCGGGGCUAAUACCGGAUAACAUUUUGAACCGCAUGGUUCGAAAUUAAAAGGCGGCUUCCGCUGUCACCCAUGGAUGGACCCGCGUCGCAUUAGCUAGUUGGUGAGGUAACGGCGCACCAAGGCAACGAUGCGUAGCCGACCUGAGAGGGUGAUCGGCCACACUGGGACUGAGACACGGCCCAGACUCCUACGGGAGGCAGCAGUAGGGAAUCUUCCGCAAUGGACGAAAGUCUGACGGAGCAACGCCGCGUGAGUGAUGAAGGCUUUCGGGUCGUAAAACUCUGUUGUUAGGGAAGAACAAGUGCUAGUUGAAUAAGCUGGCACCUUGACGGUACCUAACCAGAGAGCCACGGCUAACUACGUGCCAGCCGCCGCCGUAA